rnacentral:tRNA from 1 species
CCAUCGAUGGGUUCGUGGUAGAAUGAUCGCCUGGCCACGUGGGCGGCUUGGGUUCGAUUCCCGGUCGAUGUA